GAACGAUGAAGCCCUUCGGGGUGGAUUAGUGGCGAACGGGUGAGUAACACGUGGGCAAUCUGCCCUUCACUCUGGGACAAGCCCUGGAAACGGGGUCUAAUACCGGAUAAUACUCCUGCCUGCAUGGGCGGGGGUUGAAAGCUCCGGCGGUGAAGGAUGAGCCCGCGGCCUAUCAGCUUGUUGGUGGGGUAAUGGCCCACCAAGGCGACGACGGGUAGCCGGCCUGAGAGGGCGACCGGCCACACUGGGACUGAGACACGGCCCAGACUCCUACGGGAGGCAGCAGUGGGGAAUAUUGCACAAUGGGCGAAAGCCUGAUGCAGCGACGCCGCGUGAGGGAUGACGGCCUUCGGGUUGUAAACCUCUUUCAGCAGGGAAGAAGCGAAAGUGACGGUACCUGCAGAAGAAGCGCCGGCUAACUACGUGCCAGCAGCCGCGGUAAUACGUAGGGCGCAAGCGUUGUCCGGAAUUAUUGGGCGUAAAGAGCUCGUAGGCGGCUUGUCACGUCGGAUGUGAAAGCCCGAGGCUUAACCUCGGGUCUGCAUUCGAUACGGGCUAGCUAGAGUGUGGUAGGGGAGAUCGGAAUUCCUGGUGUAGCGGUGAAAUGCGCAGAUAUCAGGAGGAACACCGGUGGCGAAGGCGGAUCUCUGGGCCAUUACUGACGCUGAGGAGCGAAAGCGUGGGGAGCGAACAGGAUUAGAUACCCUGGUAGUCCACGCCGUAAACGUUGGGAACUAGGUGUUGGCGACAUUCCACGUCGUCGGUGCCGCAGCUAA
rnacentral:rRNA from 1 species